UACGUAGGGGGCAAGCGUUGUCCGGAAUCAUUGGGCGUAAAGAGCGUGUAGGCGGUUCGGUAAGUCGGCUGUGAAAGUCCAGGGCUCAACCCUGGGAUGCCGGUCGAUACUGCCGGACUAGAGUUCGGAAGAGGCGAGUGGAAUUCCCGGUGUGAGCGGUGAAAUGCGCAGAUAUCGGGAGGAACACCUAUGGCGAAGGCAGCUCGCUGGGACGGUACUGACGCUGAGACGCGAAAGCGUGGGGAGGCGAACAGG
rnacentral:rRNA from 1 species